UACGGAGGGUGCGAGCGUUGUCCGGAAUCACUGGGCGUAAAGGGCGCGUAGGCGGCCUGAUAAGUAGGGGGUGAAAUCCUGCGGCUUAACCGCAGGGCUGCCUUCUAAACUGUCAGGCUAGAGCACAGUAGAGGCAGGUGGAAUUCCCGGUGUAGCGGUGGAAUGCGUAGAUAUCGGAAGGAACAUCGGUGGCGAAGGCGACUUUCUGGACAAAUACUGACACUGAGGCACGAAAGCAUGGGGAGCAAACAGG
rnacentral:rRNA from 1 species